UGGGAGACGAUUAAGAAAAGAGAUACAACAACGGUCCACAUUCAACUGAAAUGCGCCAUAGUUAUCAUGGACAGGUUAUUCCAUUAAUCUACCAGUUUUUUUUUUUGGGGGCCAAGGUCCAUAAGUGGUCCAUCAAACCAACGUUCUGGAUCAGUGAUCCAUGGGCCCCACUUGUUAAAAAAAAGAAGAAAACCUAUGGUCAAGGAUCAUUAUAUAGUCCUCUCAUCGACAAGUCCAUUUAAAAAUCCACAUCUCCUGCAACUUCCUGAGAAGAAAUCUCAUCUGAGGAUCAUAGAUAGAUGGCAUCCAACGAUUCAAACGUAGUGUCCCCGAAAAGCAAUGGUGGAGAAAUGAUAUCAGUCAGUGUUUCAUCACCGAAAAGGGAGGGAUUAGUGGGCCAGUGCCUGUGCUCUCCUACCACUCAUCAAGGUUCGUUCAGGUGCCGAUUCCACCGAUCUCAAUCGUCGACUUGGAUGAGACGGUCCAAAUCUAUGCCUGCCGAUAAGGAUGUGGGCCCCACACAAACAUGAUCACCACAUGGAUGUGUGUGUCCCAUCUCUAUGAAAAAGAGAGAGAGUAUGGUUUUUCUAGUUUGUGUCAUGGAAGG